UUCAAGAAUUUUUUCUUGCUUAACGUCAUUGAUGGUCGUCGCCUAUCCAAUGCCAAUUGUGAGCGAACAACGAAAACACUUGUGAUCGAAAUUACUGCUGUACUAUAACGAAGGCAACGGCGGUCUCGAGUUCCUGUGUAGGUCAAAGUUGUAGCAAAUCACGAUCCAUCUUGGCCACGAUAUACUGCGAGAAUGUUGGAGAGAAUAAAAUGUCUUCCAGGAUUAUUUCCGAAGUCCGCUUUCAGUCGAAUUGAAAUUGGUAACGGAACACAGUAAAAUGCCAGUGAUGAGUUCAAUUACGCCUUCUUCACUGGGAACAGUAAUCUACGAAUUUUUAAGACAAAAUGCACUCGUAGCCGUUCUUGUGCUUAUAAUACUCGGCCUACUUUGUUACAUAUGGGCCUGCAAUUGUUGUGCACCUGCAUGUUGUAUAUGCAGAUGCAUUUACAAAUGCCUAACGUGUUGUUGUCCAAAAAGAGGCGGUGAGAAAGCUGCAAUGUCAUGCGAAUGCAGCCACACCGGGACUGAUAUAAAGGGAAUAGGGAGAGUCCCAGUCAGCUCGAGCUCGACAAGCACGAAUUAAGUGUCUGAUAGUACAUAACUGAAUAUGGAAAAAUGUCCCUAUGAGAACGAUUUAACAAUUUUCCUUGCUGGCAAUAAAAAC
rnacentral:lncRNA from 1 species